rnacentral:piRNA from 1 species
UAAGUUUGAUUUUUAGGAACAUGCCAG